rnacentral:sRNA from 1 species
UGUAAACAAUUUCUUGCUAUAGCAGGCUAAAAGGCUCAGCGAGAGGGGAGGGAAACGGCAAGGUAGGGCCCAACAAUGAUCUUAUGGUAUCUGGCCAAAACGGAAAUUGAGGUAAUGCAUAUUCAUAUCUGUAUAAGGAUUAAUAAAGCUUGCAACUGCGUGCAGUUGCUUCUGCCUUUGCUCUGCACCCCCUGUGUCCUGGAGGUGUGCAACCCUACCCAGGGCCCCCAACGCACUAGACGUUGACACUGGUCUAUUCAGCGGACCAGCCUGGACCGAGGUGUAGUCCUUUUCUCCUUGGUGUACCUCCCACAAAGCUCACUGGUCUAUUCUUGCUCCCUUCUGCUUCCCUGACCUAGCGAAUGCUUGAGCCUCCAAAGUGAGCCAGAUGGCAGCCUUAGAUAAGCAAUCCCAGAGACUGAUGGGAGUGUCCCUAAAAAUCAUUUCUGGGCCUGUUUUCAGCUUCGGGCUUCUGAGAAAAAAAAUGGCCAGAACCCAUCCUAUCUGGGGUCCUGUGUGGGGCUGCUCCUAGUGGUGGUGUGGGGAGCCCCUGUGGGGGUUUGGUCACAGAAGGCUACCAUUUGCGGGGUGUGGGGGAGGGGGGAGCCUCGGGCUUGUGUUCUGGGGAACUUAGGUUGCAUUAGACUCUUCUGUGUUAGAAAGGGGCUGGAUGGAAUGUAGUUUCCUCUGCCACCGGCUGCUGUCAUCCUGGCCUGUGUGUGGCUUGGAAGGUGGUGUUGCCUCCGGCUGUGUUCUGCUUGUUCUGUUCCGAAGUCUAUUACAGGAUUUCCAAGGGGACUGUUGCAAAACGCUAAUGGGCCACAAGGGCCGUGUGUGCAGGGUGUCUGGGAGCAGCAUUCUCCAGAUAACAUCUUUUUCCUUGUGUUCGGAACAGCCCACCCAGGACACGGUGCCUUCCCUCAGACUUUUUCUCUGGUCACUGAUAUUUGUCCUGAUCACGCGGCUUUGCUCCGGGGCCAAAGCACAGGCCUUCCACACAGCGCAGCGUGUACUUGCCAGAUUGGAAUCUCUGGUCACUGCACACGUCCCCUUCUGAUGGAACGCAGUUGAAGCCGCCGCCGCCGCUGCCACCGCCGCCGCAGGUCAUGGAAAGUGGUGGCCUUUCUUCCCAUCAGUGUGAAGAAGCUGUGGAAGCGCGGAGCUCAGCUAACCAGGCUCCGAGAUGAAGAGAGAGGGAGAGCGAAGAUGGGGAUGGGCAGAAGAAAUAAAGGAGAGAGGGGAAGGGAGGGGAGAGGGAGAGGGAUGUGAGUUGGGGGAGACAAGACGUUGAAUGGAAGGGAGUGCAGGGGCUGGGGGUCCAAGGGUCACAAACCUGAUGGCACAGCUCAGCCCCAGCCCCAGGCCCGUCUUUGGGAUGGUACAAGUGAGGGUUACAGAAGGGUUUUGCCGGAGGGGUUUUGCCGGAGGUAGGAGCCAAGCAUACCCUAGUAGUUCUAAGCUCAUCCUCCCGCUCCCUUCCCCUCCCCCACCCAGGCCACCAACACCCUCCAGGUUACACAGCCGAUUAAUUUGAAAAUUGAGUUGCAGCUGAAUGAGUUGAUGUUGAUUUCAAAGUUCACUGGUGUUUAAUUAGAACCAUCUUGAGACUAAAGCAGCUCCAAGGAAAUUGUUCUGACCGAAUAAUUAAGGAGAAUAAAGGUUAGAUUAGUGUUUCUGGUUAAGUCUGUGUUGUAGUCAACACUUCCAAAGCAUGAAUCUCAUUAACCUUUCAUGAACCAGCAUUAAAUUGUUCUCAAUGAGUUGUCAUUCUAAUUAAGGCAGAAUCAUACAGAGGAGCCAUUGUUUAUACUCCGUGGCUCUGAUGACUCUUCCUUGAAGACGUCCUUGGGAAAUGGUUCCCUAACUUUGUCCUCGCCCAGCUGCCUAAGCUCCCAUCCACAGGAGCUCAUGGACACUGGGGAGAACUGGGCGUCAGACCGAGGCCACAGGGGUGGCAGGAGAGACUAAGGUAAAGUUAAAGGAGAGCUGAAGUAGCCUAGACCAGCUUAGUGGUAUUCUGAGAGGCCUAUGAGGUCAGAUGGAGAAUAUGUUGUGAUUUUGGGGGUUACUUAGCGAUAGGCACCCGAACUCUCUGCUGAGGGAUUUGCUCCAUGUCCAUAGCCAGUGCCCUCCAAGGCAUACAUCAUCUUUAAUUCUGCCGUGGGGUACUGGAGACAGAAUGGGGACCCUAUCUCUGCCUCCAGUGCUCAGAGUGAUGAUCUAGCCUGGUGACCCCCAGUUCUGCAGACAGAGGUGGGGCCAAGGCCCCAGAAUGUAGGAGGUGGGUGGCACUGUUUAAAUUGUAUAUGGUCCAAGGUUAGAGUGUGCAUCGACUCAGGAGAGCAUUAGCAUUUUGGGCAAGCAGUGGUGGGGCGGGUGGGCAGGAGGGAGGGGAGCUGCACAAGUGAGGAGGAAUCAGGCUCAGGCCUGUUUUGGAGGAGAGCUCCUACUCUGGUUGGCAGGCAGCAAAUGUGUGUCUUGGAGACAGUCACCGAUUCCAGCGCUGAACUGACAGGAUUAGGAGCAGAGGGUGGACUGAAUGAAAGAGGCUUGAGGUGGCUAGGCUGGUACUAAGGUGAGGCCUGGGGACUACUGGGGCACUGGAGGCCACCCUGACCAUCUGUCCUCCCAUGUGAAUCCGGAGCAGAGACUCUGACACCAAGAACAUGGAGGAGCGAAGAGCAGUUGCUGAGAUGCUCAGGGAGGAGGUGUAUCCAUGACCUGUUUCCUCAAUGCCUCCUUAGACAGAUCUCGGUGUUUAAAUUCAUUAAUGUUUAAUGAAAAAAAGGAAUCGAUUACUAUGAUUUAAUAAAGAAAAGUUCUCUAUCGUAACGUGUUUCCCAUGGAAAUGACUUCAGUUUUGUUGACUGUGAAUGGCGGCUUUAUUACUGGAGCCAGCUGCGGUCUCUCCUAGAGCUCCUAACGACGUGUCCGUGUCCCGUUGCUUGUCCUGAGGAGACAUUGUAUUGCUUCCAAGGGGACAGGCCUGUACCACGAAUCAAGAUGGCUAAUGUCAUUCAUUUGUCCUCACCAGGGGGGCUGGCCUUGCCUGAGCAGAUGCGGGCAGAGCUCCAAACUCUUUAUUGCUCCCUUCUCAAGGGGCCAGAAGCUGGGAGAGGAGACAGGCAGCGCCUCCACCCACCACAGGGUUCUUCACUGUUUGAUACUGCUGAGUCUGAAGUCCUCCCUAGCUGGCUGACCCAUCUAGCACCUCUUAGGAGAAAUCGCCCAUCAUCUGGAGGUGGGAGCAGAGGCGCUGGCUGCAUGGACAGAGGCUUCAAAUUGUGGUCAUCUCCGACACUGCGCUCUUCUGCUGCACGUCUGAUGAAGAAUUCAUGGUGUGCUUUGUGGCCAUGAAGCUUCUAUGGAACUCCCAUAAUGGGAAGGUUGUAGUGAAAGUCUGAAGGUUAUGGGGAUUGGUGGGUGAAGCUAGGAAAGAACUCAUGGGGCCCUGUGUGUUUUUGGAAAAGCAGCUGGAUCCCAUGAUCCUUAGGCUCUUGGGUGUGAGCUGGGGGCAAUCCUGGCUACACUUUCCUAGCAGUGGCAGCAUGUAGUAACAUGUCUGUGGAUAAUACAUCCUCUUGGGCAAGGAGACUGAAGGUGGGCCCCUCCUUGGUUCCUCUCAUUUCCUUUGCCGUAUCAGAGCCCGACCCUGUUAGAGCCUCCUUGUUCCUGUGUAGGCUUUCUCUUGAUGGCUUGAGUCUGUAUGUAUGCAGCUUGGCAUGACCCUUGCUAAGUGAGGCUGGUUACCCUGCCGCGAUUUUUCAGCUAAGGCUCUGUAGGAGCUGACGGCAGAGGGGGAUACGGCAUCCUUGGCCUGCAGCCGGUCUCCCUCCAUAGCCUUCCCACACUCAUGUGGUGGUGCAGACCUGUGGUCCAAGUACUCAGGAGGCUGAGACAAUGUCAAUGUCAGUCUGGGCUCCACGAGACUGCCCAAAAGCAAAAUAAACAAAACACAUACAUGCCAAACUCAAAACCACCCCUGGCCAUAAAAGAUCCCACACCUGUAAACUGCUACUGCAGGAACCUCAAGGCCCCUAAAACUCGACAGAUUUCCCUACAGUUUCUUUUCUACAUUUAUUGUUAAAACAUAAGCAUCUCACGUAUCUAAGUGUGACCGUUAGGGGUUUUCCCCCUCUCCUUUUCUGAUGCCCUGCUGGCCUGCCUCUGCUUCCCCAGCCCUGAGAUUAAAGGUGUCUCCCACCACACCUUUAAUGCAUAGUCAUGUGAAUACCAGCAUAAACCAACUUAGGAUACAUGUAAAAGCAAAAGGACCGAAUGGGGCAUGUCUACGAUAACUUUCCAGGAUGAGGCAGGAGGACUGCCACAAGAUUAAAGCCAGCCUGGAAUGCAAGACCGUCUCCGACAACCACUACCAAAAAAGGCAAAGGAAACGUUUGAUUAUCAUAUGUUUUUAUCUUCAAAGUUUUCUGCCAUGACACCGGAAUGCAUGAUAGAAAUGGCUCAUCUUCACAUGAAACACUUGGGUUCAUUUUCAUUCACAAGCUUUUCUAACAGAGUCAUAAUCCCGCAUCCUUCCACCCCGUCACAGCUCUGACUGACGUCAAACAGUAGUUGCCAGCACUAGAGGCUGGAGUGCUCUCUGCACAUUAGUAGUGUCUUUGGAAACUACCACCCAAGAGUAUCGUGAUUAUAAAUCUCACUGUACAUGGCAACCCCGAAGGUGACAGAUGUCCCCAAAGUCCCUGCUUGUGGACAGCUGCAUCCUCCAGGCACUGAGAGAAGCACACGUUCUUCUCCUCCGACUGCUUGUUCAUCUCCUAGCAUCCAUUUGCAAGUACUUGAUUUCAUCCCCACUGCUAGCUGGCGGGCAGAGAUGCUGAAGCUGUGCUCUCUGACAACUGGGUAGAGACGAAACUGAAAGUCAGGUGGCUUGAAAUCUCCUCUUUGGAAGAGAGCUACGUUGAGGUGAGGUUUUUUUUUUUUGUUUUGUUUUUCUCCACUUAAUUAAAAAAAAAAAGUUGUAAACAAAAGGAGAGAGAUACAUGGACAUAGACCUAGACACAGACUUUCACUGAACACACUUGGAUGUCUGCAUCUUCUUUAGAUGCACUGCUCUCUGCUGUCCCUCCACACACCUGCGCAGUGUGUGAAUAGUGUCUCGAGUGUCCUUGGCGUUCACGGUUCCAAGCGAUGUUGACAUACCUGAUAUGUUACUCCUGAGAAGGUACUGGGAGGGAAUGACAGUUCUGACGCACUCUGGAAUGGCACAAUCACGUAAACGCUUGCACAUUUAAGACUUCUGAACUUAGGAAAAGUUACAUAAUCCAACAACAAAAACA